ensembl:lncRNA
ACGGGUUUAGACGUAUAAACGCAUGUGAAACGAAGGCGUGACGCGGUGGGUUGGCGCUGAGCGGUGAAACCAGAACCCCCCCCCCCCCGCAGGUUUCGCGGCUCAUUCUUGGCUCGUCGCGGUAACGUUGCGCUGCUCGCUGACACCACCCGCCGCCGUGCCCCUGCACCACCCAGCCUCCACACCGGGCGGCAUCGCGCCCAAUGGGAGGGGGAACCACGUGGUGAAAAACCCCGAUCCAGGCCCAGCGGUGUUAGCAACGUGGCUAAGUGCUAACGGCACAACACGACGCCUUUAAGUGUUCCAUGACAAACAUCUGGGUGUUUUACCAAUGAGCACCGAGGACGUCGUUUGAUGGUGUAGGUUAUGGGGGGUGGGCAGUUCCACUCCCAUGAU